UGGACCAAUCAUGACAUCUGGUUGCAUGUGAGUGACUUGCGAGGAGCACCUGGUGUCUGAAACUCUGAUCUUUCAUCUUUCGAUAUCAGUGUUGUAGGGUCUUA
rnacentral:snoRNA from 1 species